rnacentral:rRNA from 1 species
GGGUUGUGAGGUUAAGCGACUAAGCGUACACGGUGGAUGCCCUGGCAGUCAGAGGCGAUGAAGGGCGUGCUAAUCUGCGAUAAGCGUCGGUAAGGUGAUAUGAACCGUUAUAACCGGCGAUACCCGAAUGGGGAAACCCAGUGUGACUCGUCACACUAUCAUUAACUGAAUCCAUAGGUUAAUGAGGCGAACCGGGGGAACUGAAACAUCUAAGUACCCCGAGGAAAAGAAAUCAACCGAGAUUCCCCCAGUAGCGGCGAGCGAACGGGGAGGAGCCCAGAGCCUGAAUCAGCAUGUGUGUUAGUGGAAGCGUCUGGAAAGACGCGCGAUACAGGGUGACAGCCCCGUACACAAAAGCGCAUGUGUUGUGAGCUCGAUGAGUAGGGCGGGACACGUGGUAUCCUGUCUGAAUAUGGGGGGACCAUCCUCCAAGGCUAAAUACUCCUGACUGACCGAUAGUGAACCAGUACCGUGAGGGAAAGGCGAAAAGAACCCCGGCGAGGGGAGUGAAAAAGAACCUGAAACCGUGUACGUACAAGCAGUGGGAGCACAGGUUUACCUGUGUGACUGCGUACCUUUUGUAUAAUGGGUCAGCGACUUAUAUUCUGUAGCAAGGUUAACCGAAUAGGGGAGCCGGAGGGAAACCGAGUCUUAAUUGGGCGUUAAGUUGCAGGGUAUAGACCCGAAACCCGGUGAUCUAGCCAUGGGCAGGUUGAAGGUUGGGUAACACUAACUGGAGGACCGAACCGACUAAUGUUGAAAAAUUAGCGGAUGACCUGUGGCUGGGGGUGAAAGGCCAAUCAAACCGGGAGAUAGCUGGUUCUCCCCGAAAGCUAUUUAGGUAGCGCCUCGUGAACUCAUCUCCGGGGGUAGAGCACUGUUUCGGCUAGGGGGCCAUCCCGGCUUACCAACCCGAUGCAAACUGCGAAUACCGGAGAAUGUUAUCACGGGAGACACACGGCGGGUGCUAACGUCCGUCGUGAAGAGGGAAACAACCCAGACCGCCAGCUAAGGUCCCAAAGUCAUGGUUAAGUGGGAAACGAUGUGGGAAGGCCCAGACAGCCAGGAUGUUGGCUUAGAAGCAGCCAUCAUUUAAAGAAAGCGUAAUAGCUCACUGGUCGAGUCGGCCUGCGCGGAAGAUGUAACGGGGCUAAA